GUGCUCGCUUUGGCAGCACAUAUACUAAAAUUGGAACGAUACAGAGAAGAUUAACAUGGCCCCUGCUCUGCAAGGAUGACAUGCAAAUUCGUGAAGCGUUCCAUAUUUAA